CCACAGCGGUUACUGUUGAAAGGUAGGUAAAUUUCCAUGUCUGCCUCCAUGUUUUGUAUGUAUACAAUGUGUAACUCGGUGUCCAAGACAGCUGUAACAAAGCAGCUCGUAACCUGAAUGAUGUGUGGCAUCACAGGGACGUAUCGUUUGCGUGGGGAACCAUUUGGUUGAAGUACUUUCAGUGCUUGCUAUAUCUAUCUGCAUAACUAACACACUGCUUACUGAAAGGUGUCACACCAUUUUGCAGUGAUACAGAUAUGUGGAAAUACGAAACGUGGUACAAAGACUAUGGUAUGGUUAGGCAACAUCACAGCUUGGUGCAUUUACAAAAUUGGGAACAGCAACAGUAAAUGAUGGAAAAGUGAUGAGGACAUGGGAUGUUUCCCCCAUGGUAGCCACGGGACCCUACCCAACAAGACUGAAGUAUAUGCGUGUAUACCUGCCAACUUCUCGAUUAUGCGGGAAACUCCCGAAUUUCGUUCAGUCUCCUGAUUUUAUGGACUCACCCUCCAAUCUCCCGGAAAACUGGGGCCUCGGGCUUUUCUUCUCUCAUUUUCAUUUAAAAAAUGGGCCAACGCAUUCCUGAAGAAUUACAUAGCCUGUAACGUGUGUUUCGCGGCAUGGCCACACAUGGCUGGAGGUCACAGCAGAUAAUGUGUAUCAUUGUGUCCGUGUUUCUCGAGAAGACUGGCUAUCUAUCAUCCUCUCGUCAGUUCCUCGUACAACAACAGUUUGUCUUCUCCGAUGGCGUUCUCCAAACAGAAGAAAUAUCUGCACAUGUUCCUCAUACGUGCCAAGUGCCUUUUCACUGGUAUUCUGUAUGAGCCCAACCAGUGUGGAUCAUAGGCGACCAUGCUCUUCUGGAAGAUGUUCCCAAAAUGUCACGAAAUGAAGCGCCAUUGGUGUGGACGGACGAAGCCCACUGCCAUCAUCGGUGAAAUUGCUGCGGCAGCACAAAAUGCAAUGUUGGAGAGCCAGAGAUGACGCGUCUUUGCAAUUUCGGUUGGCGGAAGCAACGAGAGGGGGUCGCAGCCCCACCCGAUAGUGGCGAUGUAUGACGUAGAUGAAUCUCAAUACAGUGGCGUCCAAAAUUAAUGCCCCCGACCUCCUUCCGUCACGCUGUGGGCAGUCCUCCGAUCUUGAUGUUCGUCAGGUUGACAGGUAUGUGUGUGCAAAUUUGGGAAAUGUCAGCAUAGUCUAUUACACAAAGACAUCCUACUAUCUAAAUGGUGUCACUUGUGCCUCCUUUCUGCAAGUGGCACUCUCUUCUGAACAGGUCGUUCAGUAUCAGGGAGUCACAGGUGGUCCCAUUAUGCUUCAUGUAUUUAGCUAUUUCACAUGCUACAACACAAGGCCUGACAUCCAUACAGAGGCUGAGUGCCCCAAAACUGGCAGCAUUGCCCUAGUUUGCAGAGAUAUACCUCAAAAGACAACUUCAGUAAACCAACAUGUAUAACGUGUAAUGAAAGUGUUACUUCUUCUUAAUGUUUGUUCACUCAUGCAUUUGUUGCCAAUCGUAGCCAGCUUUUAUAGAUGUAGGAAAUUUUGAAGUAAAAAUGAUUAAGUCAAUAAUGUUCCACGUGGUCAUUCUGCAGGCAUGGCACACAUGAUCUUUCGUGCAACACAAAAACUAAAACAGCAAGAAUCACAUGUUGUCUUUUUCAUUAGUUCACGGUCAGCCCUGAACUGGAGCCUCGAAUUAGUUAGUGCCCGCAAAUGAAAUAUACAGUGUAUUGUCCACUUGGCUACUCCAGACUUUAUUUUGUAAUUACCUAUUGUACCUAAGUAAAGCUUACAACUUUUAUUGAUGAAAAAAGUCAGUGAUUGUUUGCUGCUUCUGCACUCGAAAACUGAACACCAUCAGCUUGUGCCCCAAAACACGAAGAUGGUGAAGAGCGUCCUCUUGGCCUUCUUCAUGGCUGAAGAAUUGGCGGGCAACAUUAAGUGCUUCCAAAACUUGUGAUGGGGAUGGCCGCACCGUCGUUUCUUCCACCUCUUCAUCGUCUUCGUUUUCUUCGUCCGGUUCUUGUCGCGCCGACACUUCUGCUACAAUGUCUUCAUCGCUGCGGACACCGCAGACUGCCGCAGCGCUAUCCGCGUCAACGUAAACGGUGAAGCGCACGCCUUGCAGUGCCUCAUGCAUGUCUGCUGGAAUAUUUUCCUCGUCGAACACGUCAUCGGUUAAUUCCUGCAGACACGCGGAAACAGUCCACGAUGGUCGAUGGCACGACUUGGUCCCGCGCAUGUGCCAGCAUGUGCAACACCGAAAGCAGAGUCACGGUGUUGCUUGGACCGCACAGAAUCAAACGCUCAAGCAUAUGACGUCUAUAAAACGUCUUCAUAUUCUUGAUCACGCCCUGAUACAUCGGCUGCAACACUGCUGUCGUAUUUGCCGGAAGGAAAGCCAGCCCGAUAGCUCUCAGCUCGACGUCCAUCUUGUGCGCCGUACAAUUGUCGACGAUGAGGAGAACCUUUCUGUUUCUCAAUUCAAGCUUCCUGUCCCACGUUUUUAGCCACUGCUUAAACAGAUCGGCAGUCAUCCGCGCUUUUUUGUGGGCAGCAUACUCCGUUGGCAGCGUUCGAAUGUUCUCAAACACCGCGGCUUUGACCACUUCCUGAUCACGAAAAGGGGAAGCUUUUCCGUCCCGGUCAUGUUUGCAGCCAGCCUUACUGCGCUUUCCACCCGUGCAGCUGUCCCCUUUAAACGCAAUCGUCCCGUCUGGCAAAAGUUUGAAAAAUAAAGCGGUUUCAUCGGCGUUAAAAAUUUCAUCCGUCGAAUAUCUCCUCAGGAACUCCUGCAGCUGUUCAUUUUUCCACAACGUGCACGUUUCCGCACUAACAUCACCACGUUCGCCGCAUACAGCCCGGAAGACAAGGUCAUGCCUCUCUCGAAAUUGGUGGAACCACCCAUCAGACGCUGCGAAGUCCUCGAUGUUCAAGCGAAGUGCAAGGUCCUCUGCCUUUGCCAUUAUGAUAGGCCCGCUCAGGGGAAUGUCCUGGCUCCUCAUCUCCUUAAUCCAUGUCAUCAAAGCAUUCUCCAUUUUGGGAUGUUUCGCAAGUCGAAGUCUUUUCCUUGCGGGGGUGAAACCCUUACCUUCAUAGGUGUCUUCGAUGGCUUUGCGGUUACGGAUGUACGUCGACAACGUGCUUUUUGGUAUGCCAUACUUCUUCACUAUGUUGCUCUUGCUUAUCCUUCCAGCGUCGACUUCGCGCAGAAUCUCCACUUUGUCUUUCAACAUUUUCGCCCCGUAUUUACCACGGGACGACGUUGGUGCCAUGGUUGCGCUCUGCACGUGGCAAAAUCAAGACACGAAACAGAGAUUCGACCGCCUCUCUUUACGUCUCCUCUCCCAGUCCUCUCCUCUCGUGGGGCGCCGCCUAUUUUUGCUCUGCGCACGUAGCGCGCGCCUUGGAGGUCGCCAGGGUUGCCAGCGGCAGCACGUGGGCGCAGCCGAGUGGUUUGAAUUAUCCAUAACCAUGUCAAUUUGAGAGCAAAUUAACGGGCUGCCCUAUACAUUGAUAUGUAUGAGAGCUUGGUGAGACCGCGAUGACUUGUUUGAAUUAUCCAGAAAUUCGAAUUAACGAGGUGUGAAUUAACAAGCUUUUACUGUACUUUAUUUACAACUGAAUGCAGAUGUCAUUUAUGGCCGUACAAAGUAAUCCGUGAGCUUUGCCUGGACCGUCCUUGUUAACAUUGGAAGCACGCAACGUUCGUAAGUCCAGAUCGCCUCCACUGCUCUUUCCUGGUUCUCUUGCGCUGUCGCGUAAUGGCGCAGUGUGUCGAUGGAUUUGAGGACAUCAGCAGCUGUAGGCGGCGGCUCUUCGUCCGGUCCAUCGCUUUCGACAGUCUCCUCGGUAGCUACGACACAACUGUCACCGUUGACGUAGUCGGAUAGUUCCACGCCCGCCGGCACUGCACCCUCCCAAUCCAUCAGAGAUUCCCAUGCCUGAAGGAGCCCAGCUUGCACAGUUUCAGUUUCUGCUGCUGUUUCCUGCUCGCAGAGGCCAAGCCCGGCCUUUCGAAAGCAGUUCGCGAUGAUCACCGCUCCCGUUGACUGCCACGCAGCUGACAGCAUCUCCACCGCCUGGGAGACUUCCACUUUUCCACUUCCACUUUGGGCAAGUUUAACCUCAGGUUUAGGAGGAGCCUGUCGAUCAGGCGACGCCGGUACGCAAACUUUACACUGUUUAUUACGCCUUGGUCCAAAGGCUGAAUCAACGAUGUGCAGUGUGCGGGAAAGAAGUGCACUUGCACAUUGCUUAGUUCCAGACCCUGAAUGUGGUGCGCCGAACAAUUGUCCACAAGCAGGCACACAUUUCUUCUCUGGUUCUUCAUGUCGUUGUUGAGCUCGUUCAGCCAUUCUACGAAAAUGCUGCGCAACAUCCGCGCUUUAGUGUUCGCCACGUACUUUACGGGGAUUCCUGCAGCAUUUUCGAACGAUUGUGGUCGUGCGCUUUUCCCGAUAACAAGCGGGACGCGCUUGUCACUGCCAUCCAUGUUAGUGCAGAGCAAAACCGUGAGACGCAGCUUGCUUUGUUUUUCACCAUGGCAGCGGUCACUCUUAAGCGCCAGAGUCUUUUUUGGUAGCAUUUGAAAAAACAGGCCUGUUUCGUCAGCAUUGUAAUGUCGGAUGCUUGCAUCCAAGCAAGCAUGCGAAGUCUCUUGCCUUUUGUUGAAGGACAGCACCGCUGACUGGCAUGUUCUUCGCGCGUAUGUCCGUGAACCACUUGAAGACAGCCUUGUCAACGUCCCUGUAGGUCGCUGCCUUCAACUUCUUGCGCUGGCCGCUGCAUGACCCGGAACGCACAGCUUUCAGAACGUCUUCCUUGGACUUGAGUAUCGUGGACAGCGUGCUUGGAGGGACGUUGAAACGAAUUGCAACAUCCUUUUUCUUUUUCCCUUUGGACACCGCAUCAAUCAUCGCGACUUUGUCAUCCAGUGUCAAAACUUUGCGUUUCUUACUUGCACUCAUGACAACACGCAACAACACAACCACCACGACACAGCACAGACGACGAAAUGUCGUGAAAUGGGUAACCUAACCAUGUGUCUUUUUCCUUUUGCUAUCGCACACCACAAUAGAAUGCCACGCCUACACCACGUGGAAACGCCAAUAACGAAUGAGAACUCACGUGAGGUCAGCGUCAAAACUCCUCCCUUCUCCUGCGCGACUGGGGAAGCGACCCGUGUGGAAGCUUUCCGUUGCCCGCGGCUUUCGUUACGUUUCGUUGCGUGCUGAUUUUCGCUGGACGUCCAACAGUGCCGUCCGAUCUUCCUGUUCUAUAUCUCUCCAGGAACCUCUCCUGCAGUUGCCAAAUUCAUCAGGGGUGUCCUCUUCUUCAGCAACCUCUGAUUCAAGAGGUAGUUGUGGAGGACACAGGAGGCAAGGACAACAUUCUCCACAUUUUCUGGAGACAGGUUGAUGACUCUCAGAAAAAUUCGCCAGCGGUUGGCCAGGAUGCCGAAGGCAUUUUCAGAACAUCGCCUAUAGCAUAAUAAAUAAUAACACGUCUGUGAACAUUUUAAAUGGAAAAUUCUGGGUGUUUUACAUUGCAUGGGACAGUCUAUAGUUGAAGAUUGUCUCGUCAGGUGGCAGCAUCUUGCCAGGAUAGGGAUGCAAGAAGUCUUGUCGGAGCUGAAAAGCCUCAUCUAUCAGUACAUGAGGAAAACAUCAUCAGAGUUUGGCAGCCUUGCAAUUCCGGGCAUUUGCAAUGUGCCAGACAGGAGCCUUCUUCCAAUGGCUGACUCCUUAAACACUGCACUAUCUGCAGCUCUUCCUGGUGUUCCCACAUAAAUCAUCCUGAAGUGGUACUUGCUGUCAACCACAGCCAUCAGCACGAUUGAACAUGUUCCAUGAAGGAAUCGCAUUUAGUACCGCAGUGCAGCCUACAUGUACAUUAAUAACCUUCACAUUGUCUUGCCUUGUAGUUGUAAAACAUGCUGCCAGACUUUUUGGGAGCACCGAUUUGGACAUGCUUUCCGUCCACUGCACCCAAACAGUCAGGGAAAUUCCAGCUUUGUGCAUACUCGAGGGCAAUCUUCUCCCACUUAGAUUUGGUGGGUGGCUGCAUCAUGAAGAGUUUGGAUUAAAACUUAGAACAAUAACAAAGUUUGGCUGCUAUGCAAUGUUGACGUUACCUUCAUCAUGAGUGGUUGUAGUCUACUCCACGACACUUUGCAUGUUACGUGGAUGGCCUCCCUUGCGGUCUCCAGCCCCACUAGGUAGGCAAGUGCGACGUCCUUAAUCUGCACCCCAGAUGAAAGGAACCUGACAUUUGAUCAUGUGUUUCUUGUUAUACCAGUAUUGUGGUUUCAUUAUCUUUAUCUCAGUGCAACACAUGCCAGGCACAUGUCAGAAUAUACUGAAGGAAGUGUUGAGUUUACCGGAUCGUCAAAGCAAGCCUUUCUUCCAAGGAGAUGGGCACCCUCACAGCAUGCUCUUUGGAUAGAGCACUUUGAACCAGGCGAUGUAGUUCAUCAAACGUGCUCGAGAGCAUCCUGUAAAACUUCUGGAACAUCUGUCGUCACCACAUUUCCGCAUGGUAUCCAUUUGCAAAUCAUUAGAAAGCCUACUAUGUGAGUAAGCAGUAAUAAUAAGCAAAGCCAGUACAUAAAAUUUGAGUAAGCUAGUAAUCAUGUGAAAAACAAAAAGAAAUGAUGGGCAUAGUUGCUAACAUUGGCUAUUAAGAUUUUACCGAAGAUAAUUUUCAGAGAUGUAGUGUAUUAGAUAUACAUAAACUGUAUGAUAUAAAAAUAGGCUGUCUAUUUGAAAAUUAGGUAAGGUUCCUCAUCAUAUUCACUCAGAGCACAGAGACUUUUCACGUAGCACACAGAAACACGCUCCAUGCGGGUCGGCCUUUGAUGCUUCGUUUUCAGCAAAAUUAUUAUUCCGUAUGUGUGGCGUCAAGACAGGAGGCAUAGAUUCCCGAAGCUGAUCAAACAUUUAUGGUGAUUUCUGUGCAUGACUUUUUGUAAUGUCACCGAAAGUUAGUGACUUGCCAGGAAUUGUGCGAACGAAUCGUGUGAGUCAUGACGGCGGGUUCCCCGUGCAGGAUAACUGUAUGUGCCUGCAGUCAGCUGCAGUCCACUUGGACGACCUCUCUUUUUUUCUACAGGCUUGUUCGAGGCAAUCAGGCCGAGGGCAGCAUCAACCUGGAAGUUCAUCAUGUCUCUUACUUCCUUCUUGGGAAGACCCUCGGCACUGGCAUCCCUCAGGUAUUCCAACCAUGAAUUUGCCAUUGCUAAGGAUGCAAAAUGGGAUAUCAUCCUCACCGGCCACUUCUUCGUCUUUGUGCGCAAGGGAUACAGUGACAUGACAAAGUCUAGUUUGUCGACACCCCACAUGAACUUGUUGUAGUCCUGAAUGGCCUGUAUGCUGACAUGCUCCUUUUUUGCUUCGCUCCUCUCCGCACUUCACUGACAGGAUGGACUCCUACAAGGCUGGAUGCCAUGUUGACAAUGCCAUUAUCCCUCCAGCGCACAAUCACAAUGUCGCCCUCUUUCGACACCCUGCUGUCUAGGGUCCCACAUCGCUCUUUCUUCAUUUCUUUUUCAGGCUUCAGUUUGCAUCCUUGCAGCCGAUUACUUCGUAUGGUUCCCAUUGCUAGGAUGCCCACAUGCUUGAGCUCUCUCAAGAGAGGUACUGAUGGUGAAGUAGUUGUCAAAAAACACUCUGGAGUCAGUGUUUUGGAAGGUGCUGUACUAAACGCAUGACAGCAGAGCCACCAAGGCCAAGAUGAGCAUAGCCUGGGUCCACACCAGUCCCUUUGCCCUGAUACAUUUGAAAGUCAUGGGCCAUUCCGUCCGAGCUGCACCUCACAAAAACUUUGGCCCCAACGGGAUCGGCUUUGACUUGAUCACCUGCUUUGCCACUAUACGUCCUGUAAACGCCAGUAGUUGUUCAUCGAUGCCGCUUUCAUGCAACACACCCAUGCCUAGGCAUCGUUGACGUACCGCCUCAAGCAGGGGGCGAACCUUCCAAAAUUGUCCGUGCUUGAACGGUCCCGUUGUGCAUUUGAGUCCAUUAUGAGCAAUGUGUUCCGUAUCUUGAAAAACCUGUUGAUUGAAACAUCCACAAUUGCUGCAAUUCUUGUUGCCACUUUCCAAUACAUUCGUACUCGGGGAAAUUUCAGGACUCCCAUGUAUCAUCAAUCAUGUACAUCAUGUACAUCAAUAUUCCAAAAAACACCUUGAUUUCUUCAGGUGUGCAUGAGAGCUCCUCACCAUUUUUCUGGAGACUGUACAGAUUUAUGUACGUUGCGAACUCACUGAAAGUUUGGUCUGUGAAAUACUGUGUGAAGUAGCUCAAUGGCUCCUCUGGCACAGAGGUAGUUGGAGGGGAUAGUGGCAGUAAGUGCCCACAGGUUGGAACUCCUUCCGUGUCCACGUCACAGACGCUUUGGUUUUUUCCGGCUGUAAACAAGGUGGUUCCACAUCCUCAACUUCUUGGUCAUCAGUUGGUGCACUUGGCUACUGGUCAUCAGCGUUACCCUGUGAAUGUUCCCUUAGUUAGCAACGGAUUCAGCAGCAAAACGUAAUGCGCCUACAGCAACUGUGAUGUCUGUUUCAUCCUGCUCGUCAUCGGAAAGGUUGUCGUCUGUCACGUCACCUGCAGCAAUGCUUUCGAGAAUACUUUCUGCUGUAUCAUGCAGAACGUCUCUUGGACAUAGUCCACAAUGUGCUUAUAGGCCUAAAAAUAAAAAUAAUUGUCACUGUAAAAGCAGUAGGAUGAAACUGGCACUUUGACAUGCGAGCGCAGGACAGAUGGAGCCGAUCACAAUGUGUACGAAUGGACACGCAACAGAUAUGCGUGAAAGUGACAGUAAAACAACUGUGAAACUUUAAUAAUACUGCACUAGAAAUGUGAACGGAGGCUUUAUGUAUCUAAAACUGUGCAGAGAAUUCUCAAGCGGCACGUGAAAAUUCAUAGAAGAACAACAGAAAAGGCACACUUAUGCGGCGUGCCAUAGAAGGUGGAGGCAUCCAUCUUACAUUCGAAGUUCCGAUGGCAGCUCGCAAAGAAGAUAUCAGAUGACGCACGCAACUUUCUCUUCGGUGUCUACGCUUGUGGACAGCAUGACUCAAACGUGCCAAACAGUUUUUCCGGGCUCGAAAACUAAACCGAAACUUCCCGUGCACAAACGUGCACACCAUGCCUCAAGGGGUUGUUGUUAUUAUUAUUAUUUAUUCCACUCUUGUAGGCCAUUACCUGAGGGAGUGAGUACGCACUGCAUUCCAAACAUCAACAUUAACCAGGAGAAGAACAAACAAACAAUACAGUAACAGCAAUGAUGUGGCACAAGAUGUGUCUAGUAGUGGAGACAGCCAAUAUGCUAAAGUAAAGGAAAAUGGUUUAUGGAUGUGUACAGGGAGGACAAUGGUCAAGUGAAUAUAGCUAUUAAUGCGUUCACAAGCCGGUUGUGGUCCGUAGGUUCUGCAAUAGGAUGUUGGAGGUUAUUCCAAUCUGAUGUCCUUCUGCCUCAAAUGAUGUGGAAUGUGAGCGAGCUAGGGGUGCCUUAUGCUGGUGGUCAUCGCGUCGGGAGGGAUAGGACGAUCUGUGAACUUAACUGCUGUGGAGCACAGGGGAGUGGUAGAAUUUGUGGAAUAAUGAUAACCGUUGAAUCACGCGGCGUGUGAUCAGGUCGGUGGGCUCGGCUUGGUUCUUGAGUGAAGUCACACUUGUGUGAGGUGAACAGUCUUUAAAAAUAAAUCAAGCAGCGUGAUUCUGCAGAGCUUCAACAUUGUUCGAGAGAUAAGCAUGGCAGGGGCUCCAUAUGGUGCUAGCAUAUUUGAGCUUGAGGCGGAUGAGGGUGAGAUAAGCCAGCCGCUUUAAGUGUGAAUGUGUGUGAGCAAUGUGUUGUCGUAGAUACCAGAGAUUAUGAUUUGCGUUAGAGGGUAUGUGCAAAAUGUGUGUGUUCCAUGCAGGGCAGGGCAGGAAUACUCAAAAUUUGUAUUAUAAUACAAAUACAUAAUACUUGCUAAAAAAUGGUAUUAUAAUACUAAUACAUAAUACAUUUUAUUUUCAAGUAUUAUAAUACAUAAUACUAUUACCUCCCUAUAUUACUCAAGUAAUACUAGUAAUACUUUUGUGCCGUGGCAGACAGUUAUUAGAAAAGGAAUCCCAGACAUAUUUCUGAAGCCACCGGUCUGGUCAACGCAUGUUUAUUUCAGUUGACUGCACUUAAGAAGAAACAUCUUUUCAAAUACACCAUCUUCUAACGAUCGUCUGUUUGGUCUGAGUAGCAGAUUCGCAAACGAAAACAAUCGUUCAACUGGCACAGACGAACAUAAAUUAGUGUUGAACUUUAAGAAAGCACUCUUAACUGAUGGGUAGUCGUCCAACAUGGACAAGUCUACGCGCUUGUCAUCGAGGUACUUGAGGACUUCCAACUUCGCACGGCACAGUGCACAGCUCUCAGGGCAUUCUCUCACGGGACGCAGGUGUGUGUGUCUAUAAUUCCCUUUUUUCUGCCUUAUUUUUUGACGCACCGACCCUGGCUCCAUUCUAUGACAUGACCCUCUAAGGGCUCCGGGUUGUUCACCCAGAGUGGAGAAGUUUCCCAGAAAUUUGAGUCAGCCAGCUCCUGUAAUCGUCCCUUUGUUGCACGUUGAAGUGUGAUCCUCUGUUGGUAGAACUAGGUCGUGUUCGUAGGACUGGAAUGGUACCGAAAGCAUACACGUGUAAGACCCAUCACCUCAGGCAGGACAUGUCAUAAGUAUUACGAGUUUUGCAGUAAUACAAUGCAAGUAAUACUCGAAUUUUUUGUAUUAUAAUACGUAAUACAAAUACUCUAAAGUAUUACAGUAACGGUAUUACAAUACAAUGUAUUUGUAAUACUGCCCCAGCCCUGGUUCCAUGUUAGGUCAAAUAAACUGCUUAACAGGAACAUCUCUCGAUGAGGAUCUCUCGUGCCUGUCUGCCAGUCAUGGAGUCCUGUACGGCAUCCACAGGAGGCAGGUGCGCAGGCUGCUUAGUCCUCUGAGUCCAGCAGCUGCGUCUCUGGAGGAGUGCUGUCGAGCUGGGAGUUGCUGUUGGGUCUGGCUCCUUCCUCAGGCAUCCCAGAUUAUGUAAAGCAGCACAAGCUGUAAUGACGCGUGUGGCACAGCGAGGCUUGUGCUGCAGCCGCAUGUCGAGGCGGGCCACAGUGAGUCAUUGGAGGCAGUGCUGCAGCACCAACGAUCACUCAUUGGCAGAAAGGAAUGAGGUGGCCAUCAACACCCUGCUGCCAGUUCAACACUCCUCAGUCAAAACACAAGACGCCUGCUUGGCAGCAAAGUCAAUCCAGUUUUAGACUGAGUUUUGUACCGUAGACUUCGUGCGUGGUUUACUGUGAAUAAAUGUUCAUGCUGAGA